rnacentral:piRNA from 1 species
UGACAAUAGAAAGAGAAUGUGCGUGU